AUACGUAUGGGGCAAGCGUUAUCCGGAUUCAUUGGGCGUAAAGCGCGUGUAGGCGGCUUGUUAAGUCAGAUGUGAAAACCGGGGGCUUAACCCGCGGCGUGCAUCUGAAACUGGCAGGCUUGAGUCUGGUAGAGGAAAGUGGAAUUCCUAGUGUAGCGGUGAAAUGCGCAGUUAUUAGGAGGAACACCAGUGGCGAAGGCGGCUUUCUGGGCCACGACUGACGCUGAGACGCGAAAGCUAGGGGAGCAAACAGGAGUAGAAACCCCAGUAGUCC
rnacentral:rRNA from 1 species